CAUUAGAUGGCUGAAAGUAAGCAUUGGAAUUUUAAACCAAUUAUAAUAUAUUAACAUAUAUUUCUAAUGA
rnacentral:tRNA from 1 species